rnacentral:rRNA from 1 species
CCUACGGGUGGCAGCAGUGAGGAAUAUUGGUCAAUGGACGAGAGUCUGAACCAGCCAAGUAGCGUGAAGGAUGACUGCCCUAUGGGUUGUAAACUUCUUUUAUAUGGGACUAAAAUGUUCCACGUGUGGGAUUUUGUAUGUACCAUAUGAAUAAGGAUCGGCUAACUCCGUGCCAGCAGCCGCGGUAAUACGGAGGAUCCGAGCGUUAUCCGGAUUUAUUGGGUUGAAAGGGAGCGUAGGUGGAUUGUUAAGUCAGUUGUGAAAGUUUGCGGAUCAACCGUAAAAGUGCAGUUGAAACUGGCAGUCUUGAGUACAGUAGAGGUGGGCGGAAUGCGUGGUGUAGCGGUGAAAUGCUUAGAUAUCACGAAGAACUCCGAUUGCGAAGGCAGUUCACUGGACUGCAACUGACACUGAGGCUCGAAAGUGUGGGUAUCAAACAGGAUUAGAUACCCGGGUAGUC